rnacentral:rRNA from 1 species
GAAGGACGUUACUAACGACGAUAUGCUUUGGGGAGCUGUAAGUAAGCUUUGAUCCAGAGAUUUCCGAAUGGGGAAACCCAGCAUGAGUUAUGUCAUGUUAUCGAUAUGUGAAUACAUAGCAUAUCAGAAGGCACACCCGGAGAACUGAAACAUCUUAGUACCCGGAGGAAGAGAAAGAAAAUUCGAUUCCCUUAGUAGCGGCGAGCGAAACGGGAAGAGCCCAAACCAACAAGCUUGCUUGUUGGGGUUGUAGGACACUCUAUACGGAGUUACAAAGGACGACAUUAGACGAAUCAUCUGGAAAGAUGAAUCAAAGAAGGUAAUAAUCCUGUAGUCGAAAAUGUUGUCUCUCUUGAGUGGAUCCUGAGUACGACGGAGCACGUGAAAUUCCGUCGGAAUCUGGGAGGACCAUCUCCUAAGGCUAAAUACUCUCUAGUGACCGAUAGUGAACCAGUACCGUGAGGGAAAGGUGAAAAGCACCCCGGAAGGGGAGUGAAAUAGAACCUGAAACCGUGUGCUUACAAGUAGUCAGAGCCCGUUAAUGGGUGAUGGCGUGCCUUUUGUAGAAUGAACCGGCGAGUUACGAUUUGAUGCAAGGUUAAGCAGUAAAUGUGGAGCCGUAGCGAAAGCGAGUCUGAAUAGGGCGUUUAGUAUUUGGUCGUAGACCCGAAACCAGGUGAUCUACCCUUGGUCAGGUUGAAGUUCAGGUAACACUGAAUGGAGGACCGAACCGACUUACGUUGAAAAGUGAGCGGAUGAACUGAGGGUAGCGGAGAAAUUCCAAUCGAACCUGGAGAUAGCUGGUUCUCUCCGAAAUAGCUUUAGGGCUAGCCUCAAGUGAUGAUUAUUGGAGGUAGAGCACUGUUUGGACGAGGGGCCCCUCUCGGGUUACCGAAUUCAGACAAACUCCGAAUGCCAAUUAAUUUAACUUGGGAGUCAGAACAUGGGUGAUAAGGUCCGUGUUCGAAAGGGAAACAGCCCAGACCACCAGCUAAGGUCCCAAAAUAUAUGUUAAGUGGAAAAGGAUGUGGCGUUGCCCAGACAACUAGGAUGUUGGCUUAGAAGCAGCCAUCAUUUAAAGAGUGCGUAAUAGCUCACUAGUCGAGUGACACUGCGCCGAAAAUGUACCGGGGCUAAACAUAUUACCGAAGCUGUGGAUUGUCCUUUGGACAAUGGUAGGAGAGCGUUCUAAGGGCGUUGAAGCAUGAUCGUAAGGACAUGUGGAGCGCUUAGAAGUGAGAAUGCCGGUGUGAGUAGCGAAAGACGGGUGAGAAUCCCGUCCACCGAUUGACUAAGGUUUCCAGAGGAAGGCUCGUCCGCUCUGGGUUAGUCGGGUCCUAAGCUGAGGCCGACAGGCGUAGGCGAUGGAUAACAGGUUGAUAUUCCUGUACCACCUAUAAUCGUUUUAAUCGAUGGGGGGACGCAGUAGGAUAGGCGAAGCGUGCGAUUGGAUUGCACGUCUAAGCAGUAAGGCUGAGUAUUAGGCAAAUCCGGUACUCGUUAAGGCUGAGCUGUGAUGGGGAGAAGACAUUGAGUCUUCGAGUCGUUGAUUUCACACUGCCGAGAAAAGCCUCUAGAUAGAAAAUAGGUGCCCGUACCGCAAACCGACACAGGUAGUCAAGAUGAGAAUUCUAAGGUGAGCGAGCGAACUCUCGUUAAGGAACUCGGCAAAAUGACCCCGUAACUUCGGGAGAAGGGGUGCUCUUUAGGGUUAACGCCCAGAAGAGCCGCAGUGAAUAGGCCCAAGCGACUGUUUAUCAAAAACACAGGUCUCUGCUAAACCGUAAGGUGAUGUAUAGGGGCUGACGCCUGCCCGGUGCUGGAAGGUUAAGAGGAGUGGUUAGCUUCUGCGAAGCUACGAAUCGAAGCCCCAGUAAACGGCGGCCGUAACUAUAACGGUCCUAAGGUAGCGAAAUUCCUUGUCGGGUAAGUUCCGACCCGCACGAAAGGCGUAACGAUUUGGGCACUGUCUCAACGAGAGACUCGGUGAAAUCAUAGUACCUGUGAAGAUGCAGGUUACCCGCGACAGGACGGAAAGACCCCGUGGAGCUUUACUGUAGCCUGAUAUUGAAAUUCGGCACAGCUUGUACAGGAUAGGUAGGAGCCUUUGAAACGUGAGCGCUAGCUUACGUGGAGGCGCUGGUGGGAUACUACCCUAGCUGUGUUGGCUUUCUAACCCGCACCACUUAUCGUGGUGGGAGACAGUGUCA